rnacentral:rRNA from 1 species
CCUACGGGAGGCAGCAGUGGGGAAUAUUGCACAAUGGGGGAAACCCUGAUGCAGCGACGCCGCGUGAGCGAUGAAGUAUUUCGGUCUGUAAAGCUCUAUCAGCAGGGAAGAAGAUGACGGUACCUGACUAAGAUGCCACGGCUAACUACGUGCCAGCAGCCGAGGUAAUACGUAGGGGGAAAGCGUUCUCCGGAUUUAAUGGGUGGAAAGGGAGCGUAGACGGCGAUGCAAGCCAGGUGAGAAAGCCCGGGGCUCAACCCCGGGACUGCAUUUGGAACUGUGUGGCUGGAGUGUCGGAGAGGCAGGUGGAAUUCCUAGUGUAGCGGUGAAAUGCGUAGAUAUUAGGAGGAACACCAGUGGCGAAGGCGGCCUGCUGGACGGUGACUGACGUUGAGGCUCGAAAGCGUGGGGAGCAAACAGGAUUAGAUACCCUAGUAGUC